GGUGAAGUGAUUUACUCACGGAGCUGAAGUCAGUCGAAGAUACCAGCUGGCUGCAACUGUUUAUUAAAAACACAGCACUGUGCAAACACGAAAGUGGACGUAUACGGUGUGACGCCUGCCCGGUGCCGGAAGGUUAAUUGAUGGGGUCAGCGCAAGCGAAGCUCCUGAUCGAAGCCCCGGUAAACGGCGGCCGUAACUAUAACGGUCCUAAGGUAGCGAAAUUCCUUGUCGGGUAAGUUCCGACCUGCACGAAUGGCGUAAUGAUGGCCAGGCUGUCUCCACCCGAGACUCAGUGAAAUUGAACUCGCUGUGAAGAUGCAGUGUACCCGCGGCAAGACGGAAAGACCCCGUGAACCUUUACUAUAGCUUGACACUGAACAUUGAGCCUUGAUGUGUAGGAUAGGUGGGAGGCUUUGAAGCGUGGACGCCAGUCUGCGUGGAGCCGACCUUGAAAUACCACCCUUUAAUGUUUGAUGUUCUAACGUGGACCCGUAAUCCGGGUUGCGGACAGUGUCUGGUGGGUAGUUUGACUGGGGCGGUCUCCUCCUAAAGAGUAACGGAGGAGCACGAAGGUUGGCUAAUCCUGGUCGGACAUCAGGAGGUUAGUGCAAUGGCAUAAGCCAGCUUGACUGCGAGCGUGACGGCGCGAGCAGGUGCGAAAGCAGGUCAUAGUGAUCCGGUGGUUCUGAAUGGAAGGGCCAUCGCUCAACGGAUAAAAGGUACUCCGGGGAUAACAGGCUGAUACCGCCCAAGAGUUCAUAUCGACGGCGGUGUUUGGCACCUCGAUGUCGGCUCAUCACAUCCUGGGGCUGAAGUAGGUCCCAAGGGUAUGGCUGUUCGCCAUUUAAAGUGGUACGCGAGCUGGGUUUAGAACGUCGUGAGACAGUUCGGUCCCUAUCUGCCGUGGGCGCUGGAAGACUGAGGGGGGCUGCUCCUAGUACGAGAGGACCGGAGUGGACGCAUCACUGGUGUUCGGGUUGUCAUGCCAAUGGCACUGCCCGGUAGCUAAAUGCGGAAAAGAUAAGUGCUGAAAGCAUCUAAGCACGAAACUUGCCCCGAGAUGAGUCUUCCCUGAGACUUUGAGUCUCCUGAAGGAACGUUAAAGACGAUGACGUUGAUAGGCCGGGUGUGUAAGCGCAGCGAUGCGUUGAGCUAACCGGUACUAAUGAACCGUGAGGCUUAACCUU
rnacentral:rRNA from 1 species